rnacentral:rRNA from 1 species
AGACGUCUACAUUAGAUACCCGUGUAGUCCUAGCCGUAAACUAUGCGCGUUAGGUGUAUCGGUGACCACGAGUUACCGAGGUGCCGAAGGGAACCGUGAAACGUGCCGCCUGGGAAGUACGGUCGCAAGGCUGAAACUUAAAGGAAUUGGCGGGGAGCACCACAACAGGUGGAGCCUGCGGUUUAAUUGGACUCAACGCCGGGAAGCUCACCGGAUAGGACAGCAGAAUGAUUGCCGGGCUGAAGACCCUGCAUGACUAGCUG